rnacentral:rRNA from 1 species
UACAGAGGUCCCAAGCGUUGUUCGGAUUCACUGGGCGUAAAGGGUGCGUAGGUGGUCGGGUAAGUUUGAUGUGAAAGCUCCGAGCUUAACUCGGAAUUGCAUUGAAUACUAUUCGGCUAGAGGGUUGGAGGGGGACUGGAAUUCUCGGUGUAGCAGUGAAAUGCGUAGAUAUCGAGAGGAACACCAGUGGCGAAGGCGAGUCCCUGGACAAGCUCCUGACACUGAGGCACGAAAGCUAGGGGAGCAAACAGG